rnacentral:rRNA from 1 species
GCGUGAGUGAAGAAGGCCUUAGGGUUGUAAAACUCUUUCGCCGGAGAAGAUAAUGACGGUAUCCGGAGAAGAAGCCCCGGCUAACUUCGUGCCAGCAGCCGCGGUAAUACGAAGGGGGCUAGCGUUGUUCGGAAUUACUGGGCGUAAAGCGCACGUAGGCGGGUUUGUAAGUAGAGGGUGAAAUCCCAGAGCUCAACUCUGGAACUGCCUUCUAGACUGCAAGCCUGGAGGUCAGGAGAGGCGAGUGGAAUACCGAGUGUAGAGGUGAAAUUCGU